GAAUGCUGUGCCGGUGCAGAGAAGGCAAAGACUGAGUGGAGACGUUCUCCUCUCUCCUGACCUCCAGGACAAGGACGGCGUAGAUGUCCCUGGACCCUCUUCACUUGGUUUUCCUCAAAUGGCUCAGGAUUGCAUGUGGACCUUGGUCUAUAGAGUACAGGCCAGCAAGGCUGAAGGCAUCCCUUCCCUGCGGGAAUAAGCACUCUCUCCCCAAUUCCUUGUUGAACUGCGCACCUUCUCCAAAUAGAUGUUGACGUGCCAACCUUCAGUACUUCAGCACUUGAUUGUUUGGAGCUCCCUCUUCAAGCAGUGACACUUGGCGUGCAGAGGAAGUGAGAUGGCUAAGAGAAGCCUGUGGACUUGGCUCAACGAUCCAACCCCCUUACCUUCCAAGAGCUGUCAGAGGCCCGGACCAGGGUGGACAGCAGGUCCUGGAGAAUCACCAUUUUCUGUUUUAGGACCAGCUCUCUGUGCAGGGCCUCCUGGGAGGAAGAACAAAAUGCAGGAGGCAGUCUUGCCGAAACAGGAAGCAGACAAGCCGCAGUGUUCGCAAACCCAAGUUCCUCUCCCUUGCUCUCUGAACCAUCUGAGAGGCCCCUGCACCCUGGGCCCCCAGGGCUGCUGAAGAGCUCCACCCAGCCGCCCGUGUCUCCUGCUGCCCCAUUGGCCUGUUUCAGCAGUUUCAGGUCAAGACCCACUUCCAGGAUUAGUAAAGGAUGGACCACUGGGUGGGAUUCAACCUGCCAUUUCUGCGAAGGAGAAGAAAUGCAUUGUGGUGGUAAGACCUAAAAGAGAUUCCCUGUGUAGAUGCCACGUGUCCCAGCUAGUGAUCUGCAUGGGGACACCCCCUUUUGUCACCUCUUUCCAAUCCUGAUAUUGGGUAGUUUCUGCUUAUCUGUAGUACCCGGUGUCUUGUCUGUACCUAGGUUACUUACUCUAUAUUUGCUGUUUUAUGAAGCA